ensembl:lncRNA
CGACUCGGCUGCUACCCAAAGAGAGAACCAAACACCCACACAAUUCUCGAAUCAAACACAGAACACGGUGGAGAUCAGCUCAGGUUCAGACUCAUGAGAGGACACUGACAGAUCAUGAUUACACACCUGAUUGUCCCUGUGCUUCAGUCACCCAUAAAUCCAGUGUGAUGUCUUUCCUGCACUGUGACUGCUCUUCCCAUGCUGUAGAGACAAACGGUGUCUGAAACCUGGAAAAAUCAAGCCUACACCAUGAAGAGCAGGCCAUGCAAGAUGGCAAAAAAGAAGUCAUUAGAUGUGACAUCUACCAGAUCCACUAGAGCGCAUUCAGGCCUGAUAAAGAAUCCAACCAAAUACAGAAGCUUUGGAGAAGACUUCUUUACAGAGGUACUUAGCAAAUCACUUGAGAGCGCCGCGGACAAGCAAUAGAGCUUUCUCUUCAUAAAACUUUCUCACAAACACUGAAAAUGUAAGGGUAAAGAGGAUGAUUCCACUGAGCAUAUGGACUGGGUAUUUUCCUUCUGAUGUGAAGAACUGGGACAGCAAUGCAGAACCGGCUCAGAUGUAGUGUCUGUGCAUGCUGGAGAAAAUGCAAGUUGGCAUAAUUGUGUUCGAGUGCAGGUGAGAGCGGCUAAAGAGAUUUCUUUAUUUGGGUUGAGCUGAACGAUAUCAAAAACAGAUAUCAAACCCCUUUUGCUUAAAUCAGGGGAGACAAAGACAGUCAGCAAAAUUAUCAUUGGCACUUUAAACGUGUUUCUGUCCACGCUAAACACAAAGACCCAUGUGGUUUCUAACUAAUGUUAAAGUUAGCAUUGCUUUG